rnacentral:rRNA from 1 species
CGGCUCGAAUCUCCCAC